rnacentral:rRNA from 1 species
GACGAACGCUGGCGGCGUGCCUAAUACAUGCAAGUAGAACGCUGAAGAGAGGAGCUUGCUCUUCUUGGAUGAGUUGCGAACGGGUGAGUAACGCGUAGGUAACCUGCCUUGUAGCGGGGGAUAACUAUUGGAAACGAUAGCUAAUACCGCAUAACAAUGGAUGACACAUGUCAUUUAUUUGAAAGGGGCAAUUGCUCCACUACAAGAUGGACCUGCGUUGUAUUAGCUAGUAGGUGAGGUAAUGGCUCACCUAGGCGACGAUACAUAGCCGACCUGAGAGGGUGAUCGGCCACAUUGGGACUGAGACACGGCCCAGACUCCUACGGGAGGCAGCAGUAGGGAAUCUUCGGCAAUGGGGGCAACCCUGACCGAGCAACGCCGCGUGAGUGAAGAAGGUUUUCGGAUCGUAAAGCUCUGUUGUAAGUCAAGAACGGGUGUGAGAGUGGAAAGUUCACACUGUGACGGUAGCUUACCAGAAAGGGACGGCUAACUACGUG